CCUCCUAUGGUGUAUCUACACAUACCCAACACUUUUUAAUUUGGUAACUAUAACAAGGAAUUCGAAUGUGGAAUGGUGGUAGCUAACCACUGAUCCAAGAAAAGACACGUAUAUGUCAAUAAACAUGAUAUUAAAAUAAGAAGAUGUGGUAUAAUUUCAAAUGAGAUGUCUGUUUAUUACAAGCUAUAGCUACUGGUAGAAAAAGCUCCAGUAAAAUUAAAUUUUAUCAAGGAUGGGAGAGGACUUGUUAUCUGAAAGACAGAGAAAACACAAAAUCCUUCAACAUGAUUUUUUUUUAUAUCAAUGUCACGAUUCAGCAACUUUUCAAUAUUCCCCACUAUAGCAUCCGACAAACGAACGAAACAGUUGUGUUUUUU
rnacentral:lncRNA from 1 species